AUAUUACUUCCUCCGUCCCAAGUUACUUGUCGCAUGAAUGGAUGUAUCUAGACUUAUUUUAAUUCUAGAUACAUCCAUUUCUAUCCAAUUUUGCGACAAGUAAUUUCGGACGGAGGGAGUACUAU
rfam:Triticum aestivum genome assembly, contig: Triticum_aestivum_CS42_TGACv1_scaffold_049522_1BS